GGCUGUCAGCGGGGGGAGGCCUCUAAUGCAUUAUGCAUUGACAAAGCUGUGGAUGCUGCUGCUGCUGCCACCUCCAACUCCACCGGCACGAGGAGGCAGCUCACCUGAGGGGCCACCGCUCCCUCCCAGAGCCCCUCCCGAGGCUCUGACAGACAGGAGGCGGCUCCCUUCAACCAAACCGCUCCUUGACAGCCCUCAGGUGUGUGCUCACCUUUCCCUGACCGACACACAAACAAACGCGCAGCCGGAGUUUCUCCUCUCGGCCUGGAAAUGGGCCGGUGGGCACAGAAAGUGUGUCAUCAGCAGAAACGGACAGACGGGGAGGACAUGACUGAUAGGCUGGAGGGGGAAAAUUGAUCGGCUCCACGUCUCCCAGCCAGACCCCACGUCCCCUCUGUCCUCCUGCAGACCAAUCACGUCGCGCCCAGCUGCCCCCUAACCAGGAAGAGGCCUUCACCAAACAGACAGGACGGUGACAACCCCACUCUCGCCGCAGCCCCCCAUGGAGGCGCCGUCCAGAACGAGGCCGGGCCGCUCAGAUGUCGACUCGUCCUGCGGCGACGGAUGGAUGAGCAAAGCUUUGUUUUGAAGAGGCCGAUGGGGAGGGGGGGCUCACCGUUCCGGUGAUUCUGAUCUUCUAAAGGCCAUCAGUAAAACAGCUUCCUCUGUGACAGCUUUUAUCUCACUUUACUCUCCUCAGAGUAGGAAUAAAACAUAGAAACACAAAGGAUAGGAUUAGCACGUUCAAUAUUUAGACCAGAAGCUCAGUUUUAGAUCAAUUCAGGGCUGGAAACGUAUCUAGAAAACGACAUUUGACCAAAAGAAUGAAACCCAAACCUUUACUUCUGACAGUUGUAAAGAAGCAUGAAAAUAUGUUCCUGGAAGGGGCUGUUCCUCACUUUGUGAUGUCACAAUGUGAGGACCCACUUGUUUACGUGGAUUAGGGGGGGCUGAUGCUCAGAGAGCCAGUUUUUAGAGGAAUUCUCAGAAAUACAUGAAUUGAUCAAAAUACUACUUUAGGGUUGGUUUUGGCGAGGAAUUAACAAUCCAAUAAACUUAAAAGCUCAAAGAAGUGGAUUUAAGCCCUUUAAAAUAUUCAACAAAGUAAUGCACAACAUUGUUAAAUAAUAAUAAGCCUCAAUAAAAGUAAGUGGAGCCUGUUACCUCCAACAUUCAAAAUGUUUGACUGACAGUUUUUCCCGACCCCGCUUACCUGUUGGGGGUGGUAUGGACAACAGGCUCAGUCCGGACUGGCGAGAGUGGUUGCCAUGGAAACUCAGACCGACUCUAACCAAUCCCUGCUUACUGAUGACGUCCAUGUAGGGUAAAAAAAAGCAACUUUAUUUGGUUGGAGCCGGAAAUAAACUAUUUUCUGUGGGUGUCGUGGCACCCACUCAGUCCAGUUCCCAUUUACAGUUAAUGGAGUAACUAGUUUGACUUUAACUUUGAUGUAUGAUAAGGAGUUAUAAUCAAGGAUUGGCGUGUUCUGUGAAAAUGUAUUUUGCUUGUUUGUUUGUUUUCGGUUGCGUCUGUCCCACCGUUUUGCCUUUUUUUUUAGAGUUUGAAGACAUCAAAUCUGAAGAAGGCGACAACUAGGGGUGUCCAGAUCCGAUGAACUACUUUCAGACUCGACUGAAAUGGGAUGUUCCAUUCUGUUUAGGGAUCGAAUAUUUAUUUUAUUAUUGUUUUGAUCAGUGCUAUUUAUUUCAGGCUAAUUAUUCCAGAUAAAUACUCUAUUAUAAGCUUGUAUACUACCGUAUGAACGGAUCACCACAUUUUACUGUCGUAAAGUGCAGCAAAAAUAUGACACUAGGUGGUGCAGGAGAAACAUUUAAACAGUUUGGUAGUAAAAUAUUAACAGAUUUGGACUUCUGGGAUCAAUGACUCUUUUAAUAAAUAUUUAAAACUGA